CCUACGGGAGGCAGCAGUGAGGAAUAUUGGUCAAUGGGCGCUAGCCUGAACCAGCCAAGUAGCGUGAAGGAUGACUGCUCUAUGGGUUGUAAACUUCUUUUAUAUGGGAAUAAAGUGCAGUAUGUAUACUUCUCUGCAUGUACCUUACGAAUAAGGAUCGGCUAACUCCGUGCCAGCAGCCGCGGUAAUACGGAGGAUUCGAGCGUUAUCCGGAUUUAUUGGGUUUAAAGGGUGCGUAGGCGGUCGGAUAAGUCAGUUGUGAAAGUUUGCGGCUCAACCGUGGAAUUGCAUUUGAUACUGGCAGCCUAGAGUACAGUAGAGGUAGGCGGAAUGCGUGGUGUAGCGGUGAAAUGCUUAGAUAUCACGAAGAACUCCGAUUGCGAAGGCAGCCUGCUAAGCUAUAACUGACGCUGAUGCACGAAAGUGUGGGUAUCAAACAGGAUUAGAUACCCGAGUAGUC
rnacentral:rRNA from 1 species